rnacentral:rRNA from 1 species
UGAGGAACAUGACCUUCGGCGGGGGAUAGCCGGCCCAACGGCCGGGUAAUACCGCGUACGACCACAUGGGGACAUCCCUGAGUGGUGAAAGCAGCAAUGCGCCGAUGGAGUGCCUCGCGGCCUAUCAGCUAGUUGGCGAGGUAACGGCUCACCAAGGCUACGACGGGUAGCUGGUCUGAGAGGAUGGCCAGCCACAUUGGGACUGAGACACGGCCCAGACUNUACGGGAG